rnacentral:rRNA from 4 species
GCAUAAGGGCUCCACCUCUUCCCAUUCCGAACAGAGAAGUUAAACCUUAUCACGCCGAUGGUACUGCGAAAGCGGAAGAGUAGGUAAUCGCCACCU